UAUCAACAUGUGAAAUAUGAUAAAAAACCAGAUCUUCUUGAGGAAAUUACUGAACAUAUUCAUGAUUUUAUGUCAAAUUCAUUGAGUAAUAAAACUUGGUUGGAUGACUUGACGAAAAUUCAAGUUAACGGAAAAAUUAAAGAAAUCAUAAUA